rnacentral:rRNA from 1 species
GUGCCAGCCGCCGCGGUAAUACCGGCAGCCCAAGUGAUGGCCGCUGUUAUUGGGCCUAAAGCGUCCGUAGCUGGCCGCACAAGUCCGUCGGGAAAUCCGCCCGCUCAACGGGCGGCCGUCCGGCGGAACCUGUGUGGCUUGGGACCGGGAGGCCUGAGGGGUACGAUCGGGGUAGGAGUGAAAUCCUGUAAUCCCGUCCGGACCACCGAUGGCGAAAGCACUUCGAGAAAACGGAUCCGACAGUGAGGGACGAAAGCUAAGAUCGCGAACCGGAUUAGAUACCCGUGUAGUCC